rnacentral:tRNA from 1 species
GAGGGUAUAGCUCAGUGGUAGAGUGCGUGCUUAGCAUGCACAAGGUCCUGGGUUCAACUGCCAAUACCUCCA